rnacentral:sRNA from 1 species
CCUCAGAGGGAUGGAAAUAUGUAGCCACAGAGUGGGUUCUUGCGGCCUGCAGAGGAGGCAGCUGAGAGCGAGGAGGAUGACAACCUGUCGUCCGUGCUGCACCAGCGUGCUGAGAUCCCAUGGCGAGCCUGCGCCAAGUACCUAUCCUCUGCCGGCAUCCUGCUCCUGUCGUUGCUGGUCUUCUCACAGCUGCUCAAGCACAUGGUCCUGGUGGCCAUCGACUACUGGCUGGCCAAGUGGACCGACAGCGCCCUGACCCUGACCCCUGCAGCCAGGAACUGCUCCCUCAGCCAGGAGUGCACCCUCGACCAGACUGUCUAUGCCAUGGUGUUCACGGUGCUCUGCAGCCUGGGCAUUGUGCUGUGCCUCGUCACGUCUGUCACUGUGGAGUGGACAGGGCUGAAGGUGGCCAAGAGACUGCACCGCAGCCUGCUAAACCGUAUCAUCCUAGCCCCCAUGAGGUUUUUUGAGACCACGCCCCUUGGGAGCAUCCUGAACAGAUUUUCAUCCGACUGUAACACCAUCGACCAGCACAUCCCAUCCACACUGGAGUGCCUGAGCCGCUCCACCCUGCUCUGUGUCUCAGCCCUGGCCGUCAUCUCCUAUGUCACACCUGUGUUCCUCGUGGCCCUCUUGCCCCUGGCCAUCGUGUGCUACUUCAUCCAGAAGUACUUCCGGGUGGCGUCCAGGGACCUGCAGCAGCUGGAU